AUCGCUUCUCAGCCUUUUGGCUAGGAUCGAAUGUAGUAUUUGUUCUGAUCAGCUUAAUAUUAUGCUCCAUUCACCUCAUCCAUGGAUGUUACCACCAGGUCCUAUAGACAUUUAAGUUUUAGACCCUGGCAUACAGCGUUGUUGUGUGCCUGCAAAAUGAAGAAGCAUGGAGAGGGGGGGAAAUAUAUUAAAAUUACAUUGAUUUAAACCUAG
rnacentral:snRNA from 1 species